rnacentral:SRP_RNA from 1 species
UCGUGCUAGACGGGGAGCUAGCGGUGCCCUGAACCUGCAAUCCGCUACAGCAGGGUUGAAUUCCAGCUUGAGGCUCUUGUCUGGUAGGACUACUCUGGUCAAGUGGUGUUGAAGGCCGGGUCUUGCGCGGCGGAAGGCUAUGAAUCCCGUCAGGUCCGAGAGGAAGCAGCGGUAAAUAGUAUUUUCCGGGUGUCGCAGGGUUGCCUGGCUGGAGCCGGCUGGCCCGAGCAAGCUAUUGGUCAGAGUCGAGGGCAGGUGCACGG